rnacentral:rRNA from 1 species
CUCAGGGAGGUAGUGACAAGAAAUAACAACACUGGAAAUUUUAUUUCUAGUGAUUGGAAUGAUGGGAAUUUAAACCCCUUUCAGAGUAACAAUUGGAGGGCAAGUCUGGUGCCAGCAGCCGCGGUAAUUCCAGCUCCAAUAGCGUAUAUUAAAGUUGUUGCAGUUAAAAAGCUCGUAGUUGGAUGUCUGCUGGAAGCAAUCAGUCCGCCCUAUUUGUAGGGUGUGCACUUGAUGAAUUCUGGCAUCUAUGUCCUAAUGUGAUAGAUACGGCGGUGUAUAUGGGUUAAUCCCAUAUACCCGUUUUUGUAUAUUAUAUUGGGAUAAUACCGUUACUUUGAGAAAAUUAGAGUGUUUGAAGCAGGCUAAUUGCCUUGAAUACUGCAGCAUGGAAUAACAAUAUAGGAUUUCGGUUCUAUUUUGUUGGUUUCUAGGACUGAAAUAAUGAUUAAUAGGGACAGUUGGGGGCAUUCGUAUCUAACUGUCAGAGGUGAAAUUCUUAGAUUUGUUAAAGACGAACUACUGCGAAAGCAUUUGCCAAAGAUGUUUUCAUUAAUCAAGAACGAAAGUUAGGGGCUCGAAGACGAUCAGAUACCGUCGUAGUCUUAACCAUAAACUAUGCCGACUAGAGAUAGGAAAAUGUCAUUUUUCUGACUU